rnacentral:rRNA from 1 species
ACACGACUACAUUAGAUACCCCUGUAGUCCCAGCCGUAAACUAUGCGCGUUAGGUGUACUGGUGACCACGAGUCACCGGGGUGCCGAAGGGAAACCGUGAAACGUGCCGCCUGGGAAGUACGGUCGCAAGGCUGAAACUUAAAGGAAUUGGCGGGGAGCGCCACAACGGGUGGAGCCUGCGGUUUAAUUGGACUCAACGCCGGAAAUCUCACCGGAUAGGACAGACAUAUGAUAGUCGGGCUGAAGACUCUACUUGAUGAUCUG